GAAUAUUGCACAAUGGGGGCAACCCUGAUGCAGCCAUGCCGCGUGUGUGAAGAAGGCCUUCGGGUUGUAAACCCCUGUCAGAGGGAAAGAAGGGUGUCGGCGCGAUAACCGCCGGCACUUGACGGUACCUUCAGGGGAAGCCCCGGCCAACUCUGUGCCAGCCGCCGCGGUAAGACAGAGGGGGCAAGCGUUGCUCGGAAUCACUGGGCGUAAAGGGCGCGUAGGCGGGAUGGCAAGUCAGUCGUGAAAUCUCUCGGCUCAACCGAGAAACGUCGGCUGAUACUGCCGUUCUUGAGGGAUGCAGAGGAGACUGGAAUUCCCGGUGUAGCGGUGAAAUGUGUAGAGAUCGGGAGGAACACCGGUGGCGAAGGCGGGUCUCUGGGCAUUUCCUGACGCUGAGGCGCGAAAGCGUGGGGAGCAAACGGG
rnacentral:rRNA from 1 species